GAACGCAUAUUGCGCUCUUUGGUAUUCCGAAGAGCAUGCUUGUUUGAGUAUCAUUAAUAUCUCAACCAUACUCAUGUUGAGGGUAUGGCUUGGACGUGGGGGUUACAGGCCCUUAUUUGUGGUCUGCUCCCCUGAAAUACAUGAGUGGCAAAGCCCCUCCAUUAGGUGUGAUACUUAUCUGCAUCUAUGGGGAUCUGCUGGAUCAUAUGUUGUUGUUGUUGUUCUUGACCUCAAAUCAGGUAGGACCACCCGCUGAACUUAAG
rnacentral:misc_RNA from 1 species